UCUACCACCUUCGAUUGGGCUAGAAGAGGCCCAAUCCGCUAUCUCAAACAUCCAUUGGGGCACGGAAACUUCGCUCAGAGAAUCCUUAAUAGGCGAUUGGUCGACAUUCUUCCCACUCCCCCUACCUCUGCCGCACCUUCGCCCACUCUGGAGAGGUCAGUCGUAUCUCGUUGUUCAGUGAUCCGAGAGGUGGAAAACUAUUGGUUCAGAGAGCGCGUCAGACCGGAUUGGAGUGAGCCAUGAUUGGUCAGCACCGACACGAUCAGGCUGAUGGAAAAUGCAUUGGAGUCUAAUCCAGAAUCACAGCCAGAAAUCUAGAGUCACAAGAAUUCACAAGUCCAUGAAUUUCACCAAGAUCCUUUUUUAUGCCCCUCCUCAAAUUCAAUGAAAGAAUUGAAUGUGGGAAGACAUGGCUUUGUAAGGCAUUACUAGGACCUUGGUGGACUUAAAGUCAUGGAACUGAAUUGUAUUAAUGGUAUCAAACUCUUAUCACUAAGGUAAGGCUUUUUUGUUGCCCUUCCUGAGUUGAGAUUUCAGCUUUCUCUUUCAUCUGUGAGAGAACCAAAAGACUCCUUUCAAUAAAUUUCCCCUUUUUCUUUAAGUUUCCAGAAACAGUUUCUGAUGCCUGCAAUCAAAAGAAUAUAUUAUAGGCUCUGUGUUGGGACUUGUGUUGCAAAGAAAUAUACUAUAUUUAUAUCACAAGGAAAUAAAUUAUUCUACCCCUGGAACAUAGUUGCGUAUAUAUUUCCUUAAAAAUUUUAUACAAGUCUGCUGGUGGCUCUCUAACAUCUCUCUCCAGCAUGACUCUCCCCUCAGUUGCUGAGGUUAAAACCUAGGAAUCAUUCUCCGUUUCUAUUUUUCCCUUCCCACAUUCAAUCCAUUAACAAGUUCUAUCAGUUCUGCCUUUAAAAUCCAGCCAGAAAUCAACCACUUUUCAUCUUAACCACUUUUCAUCGCAUUCUAGUCUAAACCAUCACCAUCUUUACCCUGGACAUCAGCAACAGUUUCCUAAUCCUUCUUUUUGUUUCCACUCUAGCUUUUCCACACAGUAGCCAGUGUGAUUCUUUUAAAAUGUCAUCAAGGGGCAUCUGGGUGGCUCGGUUGGUUGUGUCUGACUCUUGAUCUCAGCUCAGGUCAUGAGCUCACAGUUUGUGGGAUCAAGCCCUGUGUAGGGUUCUUCACUGUCAGUGUGGAACCCUCUUGGGAUUCUCUCCUUCCCUCUCUCUUUGUCCCUCCUCCACACUCUCUCUCUCUUUUUCUCUCUCAAAAUAAAUAAAUAAACUUAAAAAUAUAUAUAUAAAAUAAAAUGUCAACCAGAUCAUGUUACAUUCAUGCUCAGAAAUGCUCAGUAGCUUCCCAUACCAUGGAGAAUAAAAUCCAAACUCCCCACCAUGAUUUACGUGGACUUAUGUGAUAUGACCCUUUACUAAACCUCUCUUACUUCAUCUUGUUUCACCUUCCUCCAUGUACAUACUGCGUCACCUAUACUACUCUCCCUGAUAACUCUUUAAUUGGAAUGUAAGUCCCAAAGACAAGGAUUCUGUUUACUCACUCUUGUAUCCCUAGUACCUAGGAUGAUGUUUGACAUAGACUAGAUUUCAAUUACUAGUUCUUGAAUGAAUGAGUGAAUGAAUGAAUGAAGAAAUAUAUAAUCAAUGAAAUCAAUUAGGCCCAGUAAACAAGAUACACCCAAUUACUAGAACUCUGGUAGAAGUAAGCGGUUGGUUGUGGAAGUGAGACAGCAAGAUCUUAGUUAUUACUACUAACUUUUUAUUACUACUUAUACUACUAAUUAUCUAUACAUUAAAAUCACCUUCAAUUUUGAAGUUCAAGGCCCUUCCCAAAGAACUUCGGGCAAGACUAGCAGUAAGGUAGGUUGGCUGACACCUGAGCCUCUUGAUUUGUCCCAGCCAGAGGAAUACACACCUUGGUGGCCUUGAAGUGGCCUUAGAGUGUAGAAGAGAGAUGUCAAAACAAGCAGCCAGACAGAUGAUUAUGUUGUUGUGGACUAAAUGUUAGUGUCCUCCAAAAUUUAUAUUUUGAAAUCCUAACCCUCAAUAAAUGGUAUGAGCAUGUGAGGCCUUUGGAAAGUAAUUACAUCUUGAGGAUCAAUCCUCAUGAAUGAGAUUACUGCCCUUAUAAAAGAAGCAAUAUAAGAGGUUGCUUUCUAUUUCUGAUGUCCAGUAUAGGAGGAUAUAAAGAGAAGACAACCAUCCGCAAACCAGUAAGUGGCUCUUACCAGAACUAAAUCUAUAUACACCCUGAUCUUGAACUUUCCAGUCUCUAGACUGUGGGAAAUAAAAAUUAUUACUUAUGCUAACCAGACUAUGGUGAUUUGUUUUGGAGUGUGAGCUAAGAUAGUUGCUGUGACUAUAGAGAGUUACUAUGGUACCUUUGGUAAGGAAAUAAAGUGGAUACCUUGCAAUGCAUCAAUUAACCAAAUGAAUUGCUUAUCAUUCAUUUUUAAGCCUGUUCUCAGGAGGAGAAUAGAGGCACAAAACACUCAUAAAAACUUUAUAUAAGGGAGUUGUCACUGAGAAAUCUUUUAAUUAAAAGAGGUGGGAGUGUUCACAAGGACAAAGGAAUAAACAAUGAACAGAGAUUUUCUUUUUAAUCACUCAACACACCUCUGCCAUGGAAAGAUGGCAUUCUAGUUUCUGUGAAGUAGUAUACAUGAGUAUUGCUGUUCUAUGGGCAUUUAAGUAUCUUUUAGUCCUUUUGCCUUCAUUUGCUCAGGGAUAUAUAUUGCUUUCUCAGUCUUGUCCAGAUGCAAGCUCUAAUGACCUUUACCAAUAGGCUCAAUGCUGCAACUACCUGAACCAGUGGAAACCAGAUUUUAAUCGCUCAAAUUAACAAGUGAAUAGGGUCUGGAAAUAAUCUGUGGCCUUUAGUCUGAAUUUUAGUAUCCUGGGCAAAGCUCAUUGCCACCUGCUUUUACAGUGAGGGGCAAUCUGCCCAGUAAUGUUCAACAUAUGUAACUAGUCCAUGUGCCAGGCUUUCUGCUUCCUUUUUGGUGUGCAAUCCAGCUUCCUGCUGGGACGGUAGCCUUGGCUUAACCUCUACGUCAUUUACCUGGUGCUUUGAUCCUCUUUCUUUUUUUCUGCUGAUCUGCUUUUCUGGGGGCGACCCUUACUUUCAGGAUGUCUUUCAACCUAGCUUAACCUAACUGCAACCAAAAUAUUUGCCCAAGAAUUCAGAGACUCUUCGUAUAGUGCCCUGUCUUCUUAGGAAUCCCUUAAACAUAUCAGCAUAAGCCAGGACUAGGUUCAAAUUUAUACUCCUCUUUGUGACCUGCCCUACUGCCACAUUAAUUCCCUUAGCCCAAUCCUCUGCUCUGGCUAACUCUUUUUUUUCUGCUAUUUACAGCAUAGCAUGCCUGAGCACAGAGUCUAUGUGCGUUGGGACACAUCCCUAAAGGUCUGAGAAAGAAUGAGAUAAUUAAGAUGCUUGUGAAUGCUGCUGUGUUAUGGAUUUGAACCUGUUGCACAAUUCUGUGCUCU